GUGAACGAGCACACUCCUGUUUGAUACUUAUUUUGGUACAAGAUCUGAGAAUUAUGCUGAUCAGAAAAAAAAWCCAUUCAUCCCAGGAGCUGUGAUGAAUAAACCUCAAAGGGCCAAAAAUUAUGGACUGUUUCAUCAGGCAGRGGAAUUCAUCUCUCAGGAGCCAUCUAGGCUGUGUGAGGUCAUGUUCAAAUGUAAACUCCCAGCCUCCACCCUGUCUGCACCCAAGUUCAUCCUCAAGAUCUUUGUGCAAGCUCUGACACGGACAAGCUCAGGCG